ensembl:snoRNA Snora31 small nucleolar RNA SNORA31
CUGCAUCCACUGAUAGACCUUGAACAGUUUGUGGUUGUUCUUCUGGUUUGCACUAGGAUGCAAAAGAAAAUGCUCCCUGCGCUUCCUGCCUGUCUUUGUGGCAGUCCAGAUUGAAUUGGGGAGUACAUGU